rnacentral:rRNA from 1 species
ACUGGUAGGAUUGACAGACUGAUAGCUCUCUCUCGAUUCAGUGGGUGGUGGUGCAUGGCCGUUCUUAGUUGGUGGAGUGAUUUGUCUGGUUAAUUCCGAUAACGAACGAGACUCUGGCCUACUAAAUAUGCCACUGAUCUCCUCUUGAUGCUGGCAUGCUCUCACUUAUCAGGCAUCGUCGGACGUCCCCGCCGUACAGANAGGGAGCA